GGGGUGUAGCUCAGUGGUUGAGUACUUGUCUGGCACGCAUAAGGCCCUGCAUUCGAUCCCCAGCACCUAACA
rnacentral:tRNA from 1 species